UACGUAGGGUGCAAGCGUUAAUCGGAAUUACUGGGCGUAAAGCGUGCGCAGGCGGUUUUGUAAGUCUGACGUGAAAUCCCCGGGCUCAACCUGGGAAUUGCGUUGGAGACUGCAAGGCUAGAAUCUGGCAGAGGGGGGUAGAAUUCCAUGUGUAGCAGUGAAAUGCGUAGAGAUGUGGAGGAACACCGAUGGCGAAGGCAGCCCCCUGGGUCAAGAUUGACGCUCAUGCACGAAAGCGUGGGGAGCAAACAGG
rnacentral:rRNA from 1 species